rnacentral:rRNA from 1 species
AGCAGCCGCGGUAAUUCCAGCUCCAAUAGCGUAUAUUAAAGUUGUUGCAGUUAAAAAGCUCGUAGUUGAAUUUCGGGGUUAGUAGGUUGGUCGUGCCACUGGUAUGUACUGGCUCUACUGAUCCCUCCUUCUUGUAGAACCGUAAUGCCAUUAACUUGGUGUUGCGGGGAAACAGGACUGUUACUUUGAAAAAAUUAGAGUGUUUAAAGCAGGCUAACGCUUGAAUACAUUAGCAUGGAAUAAUGAAAUAGGACGCUCGAUCCUAUUUUGUUGGUUUCUAGGAUUGACGUAAUGAUUAAUAGGGAUAGUUGGGGGCAUUAGUAUUCAAUUGUCAGAGGUGAAAUUCUUGGAUUUAUUGAAGACUAACUACUGCGAAAGCAUUCGCCAAGGAUGUUUUCAUUAAUCAAGAACGAAAGUUAGGGAUCGAAGACGAUCAGAUACCGUCGUAGUCUUAACCAUAAACUAUGCCGACUAGGGAUCGGAUGAUGUUAAUUUUUAAUGUACUCAUUCGGCGCCUUAC